rnacentral:rRNA from 1 species
AACCAACAGGGAUUGCCUCAGUAACGGCGAGUGAAGCGGCAAAAGCUCAAAUUUUAAAGCUGGCAUCUUCGGUGUCCGCGUUGUAAUUUUGUGAGGCAUCUCCGGGCAGGGCGCCGGCCUAAGUUCCUUGGAACAGGACGUCACAGAGGGUGAGAAUCCCGUGCUUGGCUGGCUGUCCCCGUCCAUGUGAGGUGUCUUCGACGAGUCGAGUUGUUUGGGAAUGCAGCUCAAAAUGGGUGGUAAAUUUCAUCUAAAGCUAAAUAUUGGUGGGAGACCGAUAGCGCACAAGUAGAGUGAUCGAAAGAUGAAAAGCACUUUGAAAAUAGAGUUAAAAAGUACGUGAAAUUGUUGAAAGGGAAGCGCUUGAGACCAGACUUCGGUAGGGGGUGAUCAGCCGUCCUUCUGGGCGGUGCACUUGCCCCCCUCCGGGCCAGCAUCGGUUGAGGCGGCGGGAUAAAGGUCCCGGGAAUGUGGCUCCUUCACGGGAGUGUUAUAGCCCGGGUGAAUGCCGCCAGCUUCGACCGAGGACCGCGCCCGCAAGGGUUAGGAUGCUUGGCAUAAUGGUCUUCAGCGA